AUGCCACCUUUUAAUGGUCGUUUUAAGCCUAAUUUAUAUAUUGAAUGGGAGUUGCAAAUAAAUGUUAUAUUUGCUUCCCAUAAUUUUUCUGAAUGUAAAAAAGUUAAGGUCGCGGUUGGUACAUUCACUGGUUUUGCUACUAUUUGGUGGAGUGAACAUUGUCGGUUAUACCCCGAUUAUGUACCUACUACUUGGGAUGAUUUAAAACUUGUCAUGAGAGAUAGAUUUGUUGAUGUUUAUUAUACUCGUGGCAUGAUUAAAAAAUUAGAACAUUUAAAACAAGGUAGUGACACUGUAACAACAUAUUAUGAUGAUUUACGAACUACCUUGUUGCACUCCUUACUAGAGGAAAGUGAAGAUGAUUUUAUUAAUCGAUUUUGGGGAGUAUUAAACCGUGAUAUUCAGGAGAUGCUAAUUCAUGAAGAGUGUUAUCCUGUGGACCGUUUGUUUCGUCUUGCUUGCAAAGCUGAACAGGAAAUAAAACGCCGUGUUGUCCACAAGGAGAAUAAGCACAAGGUGCACAUUCCAAGAGAUGAUGCGGUUGUUCCAUCAACUACUAGGCGUACUAUGGCAACCACAUCCCAUGUUUCUUGUGGGUACCUUCACCAUGUGACACAUCACCUCCGAGAGUGCUUACAUCAUCUGAGUUGA
rnacentral:rRNA from 1 species